UACGUAGGGUGCGAGCGUUAAUCGGAAUUACUGGGCGUAAAGGGUGCGCAGGCGGUUAUAUAAGACAGAUGUGAAAUCCCCGGGCUCAACCUGGGAACUGCGUUUGUGACUGUAUGACUAGAGUACGGUAGAGAGGGGUGGAAUUCCUGGUGUAGCAGUGAAAUGCGUAGAUAUCGGGAGGAACACCUGUGGCGAAGGCGGCCCCCUGGUUGGAUACUGACGCUGAGACGCGAAAGCGUGGGGAGCAAACAGG
rnacentral:rRNA from 1 species